rnacentral:rRNA from 1 species
CCUACGGGUGGCAGCAGUGAGGAAUAUUGGUCAAUGGGCGGAAGCCUGAACCAGCCAAGUAGCGUGCAGGAUGACGGCCCUACGGGUUGUAAACUGCUUUUAUACGGGAAUAACGCGCCUUACGUGUAGUGCUUUGCAUGUACCGUAUGAAUAAGGACCGGCUAAUUCCGUGCCAGCAGCCGCGGUAAUAAGGAAGGUCCGGGCGUUAUCCGGAUUUAUUGGGUUUAAAGGGCGCGUAGGCCGCAUGGCAAGCGUGCUGUGAAAUGUCCGGGCUCAACCCGGGCCUUGCAGCGCGAACUGGCGUGCUGGAGUCCGCGGAAAGCAGGCGGAAUUCGUCGUGUAGCGGUGAAAGGCUUAGAUAUGACGAAGAACCCCGAUUGCGAAGGCAGCUUGCUGCAGCGGAACUGACGCUGAUGCUCGAAAGCGCGGGUAUCGAACAGGAGUAGAUACCCUAGUAGAC